CGUAUCGCUGGUAUGGCCGUGCGUCACGGCUUCGUCGCGCUGGGUUGGUGGGCUUGCUCGUAGCAUUUGUGUUUUGUAGGUUCGUGCCGUCGAUGCGCUUUUUAAUUAAACUAAACGCGAAGCCAGAAGAAAAUUGCGCGACCCCAUGGAGCGCGCAUCGGAGGCGCUCAGCGUCGACGACGUCUACAGCCUCGCAGAGGAGAUCGGCAAGGAGUUCGAAAUCCUCAUUGACAGCUACGGCGUCGAGUCUGUGAACAAGUUGGUCACCAAGGUGAUUCGCGUGUUGGAGUACCUCGAAGCGUACGCCACCAAGAAUGACAUCGCCAGCGACGAGAUCGCCCAGCUCAGGGCGCAGAUCUACCAGCUCGAGCACGACAAGUACGAGAAGGCUGAGUCCAGGAGCAAACUUGAAAAGGAGAUGGAACAGUACGAAGACACCUGGCGACAAGAGAUGAAAGAUCUGGGUGGUCUUGUGGCUCGCCUACAGGAGGAAAACUCCAAACUGAGCAGCUCGCUCAAAGAGAAGGAGAGCCACCGUUCCUUGCAGUGCGAGCCACAUUGUGUGACUAUUGGUGAGGACAUUGUUGUCCUUGAACGGCUUCGGGACGCCUUCGACAAACAGGCAGCCCAGCUGAACCAGUGUGAAAAGGACAAGGCGAAGCAAGCUGCCGACAUAGAAUCUCUUCAGCAGCAGCUGGAAGCCAGUAAGAAGGCCACUCAGGAGCAGAGCCGACGCAACCGGCGGCUGCAGCAGCAGAUGCGGCAGCUGUGCGACGAGCGUGGCGACCUGCAGGUGCAGUUGCAGGACCAACAGAGCCAGCUGCAGAUCUUGCAGGAGCGGCUAGGCCUUGCUGUCAAAGACCACGACGACCUUCUCCAGUCCAGGGAUGCUGUCCUGGAUAUGCAAGGAAAAGUGGUGAUUGACCUGGACGACCCGAAUCGACCCCGCUUCACGCUGGAGGAGCUCAAGCACAUCCUUUUUGAAAGGAAUGAGCUCAAGGCUCGAGUUAGUGAUCUUGAAGACGAGCUGGCUCUGUACAGGCCAAGGUGGUGGGCUCAUGAGGCAACCUCGCUUCUGACCAGGCCGGUUGACCCACCAUCUCCGGUCAAGGACGAAGACCGGCCCGUCCAAGGACCCAUCAACCAGGAGCCUGAGGAGAAGCUUUUUUCCUACGGAAAGGCCUCCGGCAUUCGCAAAUUGUUCCGGGUCAUUUAUAAGGUUAGAGGAUGAGUUUGCUGCCAUAUCUUGGACCUUGAAGGAAGGCAGCUCGCAGCAGCCGUCCCUCUAUCACUGUUUUCCAAGUGCUCUGUGGCCCCGCGUCAAGCCGGGAUGAGGGGCCUCGUCUGCUGCCUCCUGCGAGGCCUGCUCUCUCACGGCAGCCUGUCGUCGGAGUUCUUUGUCGACGUCGCACCGCUCUUCGAACUACACGUGGCCCUGUUUUCAGAAGCCGGACUGUUACCGUGAAGCCGUGCUUUCGUUGCUGGCGAGAAUGGAGAGUGACGCACUCGCCCCCUCGGGGAUGUGCAUCAUUGCCACUGGCACUGGGUGUGUGUGUGUGUGUUUGUGUGAGUGCGCAUUAUCUUGCGAACGUGCCAAGCUGGGAAAGCAGCAGGUUACAGUGGUGACAGCGAGUUCUGAAAUCGAAUUAAAACGUCACUGGCGAUCUGUAGGGCAGCACUAAAUGUGGCUUCACCGUGUCAGUGCACUCUCGUCUGAAAAACUGCAGCCAAAGUUUAAAAGCAGCAACCACGUGGAACAUCCCUCAAUCGUAGUUUCAUUGCCAUGUUGCCACGUCUGUCUUGUAACGCAUUAUGUCACCCGCUGUAAUCGUGGCUGAGGUGUAUUCAGUGUGGUUGCUGCGAUAAGUUAUGUUAAAGCGGAGCAUCACUAUGCCGCGAUUGCAGUGUGGGCACUGUGUUUUAUGGAAUAGACAUGGCAACGUAAUGGCUGAAAAUGCAAAUGAAGUAUGUUUCACUCAUUUUGUGUUUAUCUGUGCGCACAUUUGAGUACACUUCAAUAAUUUUUCAGUAGGCACCAAAACAUUGUACAAUCACACAUGUGCACGGAGUUCAUGCACCUGGCUUUGGCUGCAGUUUUAUGAGAGGCUGAAUGCAGAGUUCACAAUUUAUGUUGUAUAGUUUUUUUUUUUUCCUGUAGCUUUUGAGACGUCACGUUAAUUAUGUUCUUUGUGUAGAUUUGUUUUAUUUAUUCAGUGUAUUUUAAUAGUUCAGCUAUUUUUACUGUUUAUGCAUUUUAUUUGAAACCUUUCUGGUAAAGUGUUUUAUUCUUUACUUACAUUGUACCCUGCCUCUUAAUUAACAAAAAACUUUAAGACACUCCAAAAAUGACCCUAUCUAUAGAGCAGGGCAUGUUAAAAUAGGUCUAAUCCACUAUCACUACUUACAAGUACAAUUCUUAAAGGGACACUAAAGAGAAACAAUGAAUUGGUUUAGAUUGAUAAAGUGUGCUCGGAGAACUCUUGUGUAGUUUAUUUCACCACCAUACGUUUAUUAUUAGAGGAGAACACCAAGUUCAAAGUUUCAUUUUUAAAUUUCGUGCCAAACUUUGUAAUUCGUGACGUAAAAGAUUUCAAAGAGCAUUUAACGUAUUUUGGCACCACUGGCUCGACGAAAUUUCCACAAACUCGUUAUGUCAAGUCCCUGGCCCCCUCAGAGGACAAUGUACUUCGAUUUAACCGAUUAGGAACUACGUAGGCCCAAGCAGGCGCUGUCAAAAAUAUGUGACGUCACGGCAAAUGGUGCGGGAAUUCCAAGGUGGCUUCGCCACCUGUAUUUUCUUUUUGCACGUUUUAUCGCUUAUUAAGCGUCUUCUCGCAGCAAGCGUGGUGUUUUUGGUAUCGUGGAAGACUACUUUAGUAAUGCGAGAAAAAUCGUUUUGCUCUUUAGUGUCCCUUUAACUAUUGUGAGUAGAUCAUUUCAUAUUUGUCCAAUAGAAAAGUAGGUGUCACACUGUGUUUUAUGAGAUGUACAUGUGGCAGCGAAAUUUCAAUUUGUUGUUGGUUUCUGUUGAGAAGAAAACAUUUUAUGUGGUGCAGUGUUAAAUACCUUCGAAGCUACCGACAGUAGUCUACUUAGAAAUAUGUGCACUUAUUGUUAAUGGAAAGGAUGGCACUACUUUAGGACAUGCUGCUUUAAGAAUGCAGUUCAGUUCAUAGUAAUCAAAAUGUCCUUUCGGGCAUAAUGUGUGUGUUGGAAAAGGUUCAGAAGGUUGCCAUGACAAUAACAUUGUAUGCUAACGUAGUACUAAUAGUGAUGUGUUUGUGUAGGAAUAGGUAUGAAAUCUAUUCAUCUGUCCUUUAAAUGCAUUCACUUCAUACGAGACAUUUUAAUGCUGCUGUGCAUAAGUGAAUAUCGCAAAUUAACAUUAUGCGAGAUUGAGUAUGUUUGAGGUUUAGGAGCACAAACAGGUUCAUUUUAGAUGUUGAAGUUGAACCAGCCAGCCAUAGUGGGUUUAACCUUUUUGGUACUAAGUGGCAAGCUGAGCAGUUCUGUAGUAAGUUCCUGUAUAUUUCUGUAAUUAUCUACAGCCCAAGGUUGUUUUAUGGGCUGUAGAUGUUUACAAUAUUUUUUUUCUUUUUGACUUGUUGCUUGACGCCUGACACAUUCUUUCUUAAGCGGUGCCAUGCAAGGAUAUUUUAAUGUUCCCUUUUUUUUUCUCUUUUACUUAAAAGUGAGGAACAUGCCGUUUCUCAGAAAGCUAAAUUCUUAAACCCAACUUCAAAUUGGAGUUAGAUUUCUUCAUUGAUGUCUGAAAUAUCUCCGACAACUUUUUUUCAGUGACCUUUAUUUACUGGCAGUGGGCCCUGCAUCCAGUCUAAUGUUUACUUUGUUUGGUUUUGCUAAGCAGUGCACUCAUUUUUGCCUAUGACAUAGACCUAUUCAGCAUCUGAAGUAAAACUGUGUGCCGCUCUGUUCAAGGACCAAUUGUAGCAGUUGUUCACUUGUUGUACCGAGAUGCGAGACGCUUCUUGUAUGGCUAAAAUUGAGCGAAAAGCAACUGCCUCAGGCACCAUGACAGAAUCUACACAAGCAGUAAAUGGUGGCUGAAAUUACUUAUCCGUGGCUUCAACAGCCGUUAAGUACAGAAUGCGUUUGCUGAAGGUGUGUCGUUUGUUACCAGGAUUGUUCAAUAAGGUUUCUUCGUCAGAAACACUAGGAUUGCUAAAAGCAGGGUUUUUGUAGAGCAGUAGCCUGGUGACAUGCAUGCCCACAUUGUGAACAUGUACUGUGAGUACGACUGUCAACACUGUUUUAUGGCUUUGUCUAUGUGUUUCUUACCUAAUGCCAAAUGAAAGCUUGACAAGGGAGUACACUUGCAUGUGGUGGUGUGUAAUGACUUGAAACCAGAUGAGCUUUCACCAGUCUUCCCUUGCCUCUGACAAGCAAGCACAAUUGUUAACCGAAUCCCAUGUUGCUUAUGACUGUGGGUCAUUUAGCAGCACAUUCAUAUCACACUUGGUUGGGAACACUGUAAACCUUACUUUUUGCAAGGAGUUAACCUUCACGAGUUUUGACUGUUGCCUACAGCCUUUAAACCCCCAUCCCUUCGUGUUAACUUUGCAAUGCAACUGAUGUGGCAUUCUGUAUUCUACCAGUUCCACUUAGAUUGAACUCGGCAUGUGAAACUUGAGUUCAGAUGAAUGGUGUUUUGUUUUCAUGAACUUGGAAACAUGUUACAUUCAUAUGGCGAUUUGUACUACCAGAUUUCGAUUCACUUAUUCUCUAGCCUGUCUAAUGAACUGGAGUGCUACAGCUACAAGUAUUUGCUACAGCCACUGCUUGGCAUUCACUACUACACUACCUACCAUAAUCAUGAGUGCCGUGUCUUAACAGCUGUCACACCCAAAUGGCCAUAUGCUGCUGCUGAAAUAUACUGCACACUGACAGCUUGAAACAAGUGUCACAGAAAUUGUCUAGAAGCACAAUGUGCCCUUUAUAUGUUAUAGCGCACAGAUAUUGUCCAUUGACAAAACUUUAAAACGAAUACUGUGUGCAACACCUUGUAUAUAACCCCACUUUUCCUCUUUUUUCCGUCGAAGAGACAUCAGUAUGCGCAAACUUGAGCACAUUCCAUGUGUAACAGAGAGCUGCUGUUGGAGCUACGACUUGUCUUGCUGUGAUGAUGUCACCAAAGAAAUAUGUUCGCACCACUGUUGAAAUGUGUGCUACACGUUUUAAAGGCCCUCGGCUUAAUGUUAACCGUGCAAUGCUUCAGCUUCACGCGUGCUGUGAUGGCGGGUAGUGAGCCUAGUCUUUGAGAAUGCAUUGUGUAUGGACUCGAUGUGCCUCGCACAUUGCGGUGUUCUUUGUAGCUAGGCACAAAGAACAUUACAGCUAGCAGCAUGAAAGGUCUACCCCAGGGCAAGGCUUACCCAGUAUGUGCUGGUAUACCCUAGCAAUGCAACACAGCUGGGCACAGGGGGACACUUUGUGUUUGCAAGCUUGUAUUUUUGUGCACAUCAUGUAUGACUAAUGGUGCAUAGUUACGUCCAGUAGAUAGCGCCUUAGUUGAGAGAGUUUGCAGUAAUUUGCUGGUAUCGCAUCUCGAGACAACUGUCACGUGCCAAUGUGUCUGGGAGAUCGUAGCUACUAUGGACCCCGAGACACCGCAGUGCCAGGAAUGUUUUUCACUUAGCACACUAGUUAACAUGUAGAGGCACAUUUAUAUUUGCAACAUUUUUUUACCUUUCUAUUUGUGAGCUCCCAUUUCGGGCACUUCACCACUUUUGACAACUUACCGCAGGUGCGCCCUCAUGUGCACGUCUUUUAGCUGAUGUAGUAGACUUUUGCUAAACUUCAGCACUAGUUGCAGCUGGAUCAGUUAACAUGCGGUUUAGAUCAUCCUACUUAAGCAACACCACCCUAUUUGACUUGCAGAGGACUUCGUAGAAAAUCUGGCUUUUUGCAAAGUCUCAAACAAACAAGAUUUCAUGUAUUAGCAUAUGGCUCAGUGCUUUUAAUAAAAAAAUUUUUCACAC